GAAAUGAAGAAUUAAAUUCAUGCAAAAACCUGCACAUAAGUGUUUUUAGAAGCUUUAUUUGUAAUGGCCAUAAACUGGAAACAAUCCACAUAUCCUUCAAUGGAUGAAUCAUUAAGAAAAGUAUGGUACAUCCAUGCCAUGGACUACGACUCAGCAGUAAUAAGGACUGAACUACUGAUACACAAAACAACCUAGAUGGAUCUCCAGACAGUUAUGCUAGGUGAAAAAAGUCAAUCCCAAAUGGUUAGAUACAAUUUUGUGGAAAAAAUGGAAUUCUAAAGAAAAACUAAGAAACUUUAAGUGGCUGCAAUUAGUAAUUUACAAAACCUCCCCAUCUUGAGGAAAACUUCCCUCUCUUGGCCUCAUAUUUAUCUUCUUGCUGACUAUAGAAAAAAACCUUAUAGCAUGUAUACUGAGUUCAUUCUAAUAGAAUUUUAAAAAAGUAGAUUUCUAGAGCCAAGUGGAAUUUUAGAGAACAUUUACUUCAACUAGAUGUGUAAGGAAGGAGCUGAGGCCAGAGUGGCUAUUAUAUUAGGAAGCCUGGGGUCAGGGCAGGUAUCCAAGUGAACAUAUCCUCUAGGCAAUUAGAAAUACAAGACUGGAGUAGUGCUGAAAACUCAUGACCAGAGAUGAAGACUUAGAUCAUUUUCAUAGAAAUAAUGGUAAAAGUCUUAAAGGAAGAUGAACUUAUCAAAGGAAAAAAAUAUGACUUAUACUAUGACAAAUACCUAAGGGCUACAAAUACCUAGGGUGCAUGUUGGGCAAACACUCACACUUUUCAUUUCUUUUCUAGACUAAAGCCAGCUACUUACAUAAAUAUAAAGAAAUACAGCACAUCCUGGACACCACCCAGAAAUCCCCCUUUUAUAAGCCAGAGGAAUCUUAUGGUAAGCUCUUCAGAAAGCCUCCAGCCUGUGUCCCAGAGGUCAUUUGAAAGUUUAUCACCUCUCAAAGAGCCCAAGAAAAGGAAAAAACAUCCUCGAAUCAAGGCCACGAAGACUAAAGACAUGAAACCUGUCAGCAGCAAAUGGGAGAUUAUUCCAAGUUUUGAGAAGGAUGCAAAUAUUAUCGAAGACAAGAGUCUUCAAGCUGAAGCAUCCAACCAGCCAAGUUCUAUGCAAAGAGCCCACCAUUUAAGUAAAAAUAAGGAGUAGCAACCAAAUAAGAAUGAUGGCCAACCUACCUUCCAUUUGACAUUCCAAAGGGACAAAUAAUCUAGCUUUAUGCUGCUCUGAAAACUGUGGGUGAAAGCUAACAUAUGCUUACAUAGUAAAAAGAAAAAGAAAGCCCUCCAGAUCCCUCUAUCGCUCUUCCUCCCCGACACAUGCAUAUGUGUGCACUGAACUACAAAUCCUGAGUACCCCAGCUUCUUCAGUGGGAAUAUCUUUCAGAGAUUUAAAAAGAAAUCCAGACACAACAUAGAAAAUUUUAAAUCAUUUAGAUACUUAUAUUUAAUUCUUGCCAAGAUGAAAAAAAAACUCUGAUCUUUUGAUUUCUUUCAAAAUGACUUAUUCAUACAACACCAAAAAACCCCAAGAACUCAAGGAAUGAAUGUCAUGUACUAUCACUGACUUUAAUGUCCCUUACUAGGCACUUCAAUGAAUCAGUCGAAAACAUCAUUUCCUGAAUUUCUAUUGUAUCCGUGGUGUGCUAAGAACCAUUAGUUAUAUAAAAGGCAUUUCUCCCCCAAAGAUUACUGAUUAAUUGUACAUACAACACACAUGAGUAAAAUAAUUACAGAAUAAGAUGGUACAUAGUAAAAUGCUCAGUUGUGUACCUCCAACAAUUAGAAAAAAACAGUAUAUAAUAAAAGAUGCUAAUUGUACACAGCAAAAGUGUGCCACAAAAUGUCACUGAAAUGCAUAGAUUAUGAUUUAAAUAGUCAUUUUACUUCUCACAAUUUAGCAAAAAUAUAAAAGAUUAGAUGUGCAGUUUCCUUUAGAGCUGAUGAAUGUACAUCUCCAGCCAUUUAUUCACGUGGAAGCAAGUGGAGGACCUCACAGUGUGUCAUUCAUAAGACAAUACAUACUAGUGAGAUUCCUGAAGGACGCUAGAGAAACAGGUAUGUCAGGCCAAUAAGUCAAGAUGGAUGCAGUAAGUGAGAAAACAGAGUCAACCAGCCUAGGGUUACGGGUCCAUAAUGGCGUCCAUUACAGGAUGAGGCUAAGCAGAAUGAGGAUCAGGUAGGAGAGGUACAUUAAAGUUACAGGUCACAAGCCUAAUUAGGUCAUGGUAGCAAGAUGAAACUAGGAAGAUCUGAGGUUGGGUAGUAUACUCUCAACAAUAUAUCCAGUAGCCAAAGAAAGUAGAAGGAGAACUCGGGAUAUUAAAAGAGUAACAAUUAUAUUUUUGCUUUUGCUUUUAAUAGACUUUAUUUUUUAGAAAAGUUUUAGGUUCACAGCAAUUUUGAGCAGAAGGUACAGAGAAUUCCCAUAUAUUCCCUGGCCCCCAUACAUGCAUAGCCUCCCCAUUAUCACCAUCACCCACCAGAAUGAUAUAUUUGUUACAAUUGAUAAACCUAAUAUGAUACAUCAUAAUCAUCCAAAGUCAAUAGUUUACAUUUGGGUUUAUUCUUAGCACUGUACAUUCUAUGAGGUUGGACAAAUGUAUAAUGAAAUAUAUGUACCAUUAUAGUGUCAUGCAGAAUAGUUUCACUGCCAUAAAAAUCCUCUGUGCUUUGCCUAUUCAUCCGUCUCUUCUCCCUAACCCCUGGCAACCACUCGUCUUUGCUUUUUUUUUAAAUUAAGGUCAUAUUGGCUUACAACAUUGAGUAAAUUUCAGGUGUAUAUUAUUAUAUUUCAGUUUCUGUGUAGGCUGCAUCAUGUUCACCACCAAUAGUGUAGUUUUUAUCUAUCACCAUGCAUAUGUGCCCCUUUACCCCUUUCACUCUCCCCCUACCCCCUUCUCCUCUGCUAACUACUAAUCUGUUCUCCUUAUCUGUGUUUAUCUUUCACAUAAGAGUGAAAUCAUGGGAUAUUUGCCUUUCUCUGUCUGAUUUAUUUUGCUUAACAUAAUACUGUCAAGGUCCAUCCAUGUUGUCGCAAAUGGCAUGAUUUUGUCUUUUUUAUGGGUGAAUAGUAUUCCAUUCUAUAUAUACCACAUCUUCUUUAUCCAUUCAUCCAUUGAUGGGCACUUGAGAUUCUUACACAUCUUGGCUAUUGUGCAAUGAACAUAGGGAUGCAUAAAUCUUUUUGAAUUACUGUUUUCAAGUUCUUUGGAUAAAUACCCAGUAGUGAAAUAGCUGGAUUAUAUGGUAUUUCAAUUUUUAAUUUUUUGAGAAAUCUCCAUACUGUUUUCCAUAGUGACUGCACCAGUUUGCAUUCCCACCAGCAGUGUGUGAGGGUUCCCUUUUCUCCACACCCUUUCCGAUACUUGUUAUUUCUGUCUUGUUAAUUAUAGCCAUUCUGACCAGUGUAAGGUGACAUCUCAUUGUAGUUUUGAUUUGCUUUUCCCUAAUAAUUAGUGAUAUUGAACAUCUUUUCAUGUACUUGUUGGCCAUCUGUAUAUCUUCUUUGGAAAAAUGUCUGUUCAUAUCCUCUGCCCAUUUUUGCUGAGGUUGUUCAUUUUUUGUUGUUGUUGAGUUGUAUGAGUUCUUUAUAUAUUUUGGAAAUUAACUACUUGUCAGACAUAUGAUUCACAAAUAUUUUCUCCCAGUUGGUGGGCUGUCUUUUUAUUUUGUUGAUGGUUUCCUUUGCUCUGCAGAAGCUUUUUAGUCUCAUGUAGUCCCAUUUGUUCAUUUUUUCUUUUGUUUCCCUUGCCUGGUGAGACAUGGUAUUCAAAAAGCUACUGGUAAGACCAAUGUUGAAGAGUGUACUGCCUAUGUUUUCCUCUAGGAGUUUUGUGGUUUCAGGUCCUCCAUUCAAGUCUUUAAUCCAUUUUGAGUUAAUUUUUGUGUAUGGUGUAAGAUAAUGGUCUACUUUCGUUCUUUUGCAUGUGGCUGUCCAGUUUUCCCAACACCAUUUAUUGAAGAGACUUUCUUCUUUGUAUAUUCUUGGCUCCUUUGUCAAAGAUUAGCUGUCCCUAGAUGUAUAGUUUUACUUCUGGGCUCUCAAUUCUGUUCCAUUUAUCUGUGUGUCUAUCUUUCUGCUAGUACCAAGAUGUUUUGAUUACUAUAGCUUUGUAGUAUAUUUUGAAUUUAGGGAGUGUGAUAACCUCCAACUUUGUUCUUUUCUCUCAGGAUUGCUGUGGCCACUUGGAGUCUUAUUGUUCCACAUAAAUUUUAGGAUUCUUUGUUCUAUUUCUGUGAAGAAUGUCAUUGGGAUUCUGACUCUGAUUGCAUUGAAUCCAUAGAUUGCUUUAGGUAAUAUGGAUGUUAUAACUAUGUUUAUUCUUCCAAUCCAUGAACACAGAAUAUCUUUCCAUUUCUUUAUGUUUUCUUUGAUUUCUUUCGAUAAUGUCUUGUAGUUUUCAGUGUAUAGUUUUUCACUUCCUUGGUUAAAUUUAUUCUUGGGUACUUUAUUCUUUUUGUUGCAAUUGUAAAUAGGAUUGCAUUCUUGAUUUCACUUUCUGCUAGUUUGUUAUCAGUGUAUAGAACUGCAACUGACUUUUGUAUGUUGUUUUUUACCAUGCAACUUUACUGUAUUUGUUGAUUAUUUAUAAUAGUUUUUUUGAUGGAUUCUUUAGGGUUUCCUGUAUAUAUAGAAUCAUGUCACCCACAAAUUGUGACAGUUUUACUUCUUCCUUUCCAAUUUGGGUCCCUUUUAUUUCUUUUUCUUACCUAAUUUCUCUGACUAAAACUUCCAGUACUAUGUUGAAUAAGAAUGGCAGGAGUGGGAAUCUAUUUCUUGUUCCUGUUCACAGAGGAAUAACUUUCAGUUUUCAACAUUGAGUAUGAUGUUGGCUGUGGGUUUGUCAUAUACGGCCUUUAUUAUGUUGAGGUGCUUUCCUUCUAUGCUCAUUUUAUUGAGAGUUUUUAUCAUAAUUGGAUGUUGGAUCUUGUCAAAUGCUUUCUCUGUGUCUAUGGAGAUGAUCUUGUGAUUUUUAUUCUUCAUUUUGUUAAUGUGGCGUAUCAUAUUGAUUGAUUUGCAGAUAUUGAACCAUCCUUGCAUCCUUAGAAUAAAUUGCACUUGUUGGUGGUGUAUUAUCCUUUUAAUGUAUUGCUGUAUUCAAUUUGCUAAUAUUUUGUUGAUUUUGCAUCUAUGCUCAUCAGUGAUAUUGGCCUGUAAUUUUCCUUUUUUGUAUUGGCUUUUUCUGGUUUUGGUAUCAAGGUAAUAUUGGCCUCAUAAAAUGAGUUAUGAAGUGUCCCAUUCUCUCAUUUUUGGGGAGUGUUUGAGAAGGAUAGCAACGAAGUCUUCUUUGAAUGUUUGGUUGAAGUCAACAGUGAAGCGAUCUAGUCCUGGCCUUUUGUUUUCUGGGAGGUUUUUGAUUACUAUUUCAAUCUCCUUACUUGUGAUUGAUCUAUUCAGAUUCUUUAUUUAUUCUUGAUUUAGUUUUGGGAGAUUGUAUGAUUCUAAGAAUUUAUCCAUUUCUUCUAGGUUAUCCAAUUUUGUUGGUGUAUAGCUUUCUAUAGUAUUCUCUUAUAAUCCUUUGUAUUUCUGUGUUGUCUGUUAUAAUUUCUCCUCUUUCAUUUCUGAUUUUAUUUAUUUGAAUCUCCUCUCCUUUUUUCUUAGUGAGUCUAACUAAGGGUUUGUCAAUUUUGUUUGUCUUCUCAUAGAACAGCUCUUAGUUUCAUUGAUCCUUUCUAUUGUUUUUUAGUUUCUAUUUUGUUUAUUUCUGCUUUGAUUUUUAUUAUUUCCUUCCUUCUGCUGACUUUGUUCUUCUUUUUCUAGUUGUCUUAGGUAUAGCAUAAGCUGUUUAUUUGAGAUUUCUCUUAUUUCUUUUUUUGUGAGGAAGAUUGGCCCUGAGCUACCAUCUGUUGCCUAUUUUCCUCUUUUUGGCUUGAGGAAGACUGUCACUGAGCUAACAUCUAUGCCAAUCUUCCUCCAUUUUAUGUGGGAUGCCACCACAGCAUGGCUUGAUGAGCGAUGUUAGAUCCCCUCCUGGGAUCCAAACCUGUGAACUCCAGGCCACUGAAGCAAAGCACAUGAACUUAAUCACUAUGCCACCAGGUCGGUGGCCUACCUUUCUUAAAGUAGGCCUCUGUUGCUAUAAAUUUACCUCUUAGUACCACUUUUGCUGCCUCCCAUAAGAGUUGGAAUGUUGUGUUUUCAUUUUCAUUUGCCUCUAGGUAUUUUUUUAUUUCUCCUUUGAUUUCUUCAUGGAUACAAUGGUUGUUUAGUAGCAUGUUGUUUAGUCCUCAUAUAUUUGUGACUUUCCUAACUUUUUUCUUGUAGUUGAUUUCUAGUUUCAAAGCAUUGUGGUCAGAAAAGAUGCUUGAUAUGAUUUCAGUCUUCUUAAAUUUAUUAAGGCUUGCCUUGUUUCCCAACAUAUGGUCUAUCUUUGAGAAUGUUGCAUGUGUACUUGGGAAGAAUGUGUAUUCUGCUGUUUUUUUUGGGUGGAAUGUUCUGCAUUUAUCUAUUAAGCCCAUCUGGGCUAGUGUUUCAUUUAAGUCCACUGUUUUCUUGACUUUCUGUCUGGAUAGUCUAUCCAUUGACAUAAUUAGGGGGUUAAGGUCCCCUACUAUUACUGUGUUGCUGUCAAUUUCUCUCUUUAGGUCUGUUAAUACUUGGUUUAUAUACUCUGGUGCUCCUGUGUUAGGUACAUAUAUAUUAAUAAUUGUUAUGUCCUCUUGGUGGAAUGUCCCUUUUAUUGUUAUAUAACGCCCAUCUAUAUCUCUUAUCUUUCUUAUCUUGAAGUCUGUUUUGUCUAAGUAUGGCUACACUUGCUUUCUUUUGCUUGCCAUUUGCUUGGAAUAUCAUCUUCCAUCCCUUCACUCUGAGCCUAUGUUUGUCUUUAGACCUGAAAUGUGUUUCCUGGAGGCAGCAUAUUGUUGGGUCUUGUUUUUUUAAUCCAUCCAGUCAUUCUGUUUCUUUUGAUUGAUGAAUUCAAUCCAUUUACAUUUAGGGUGAUUAUUGAUAUAUAAAGGCUUAAUACUGCUAUUUUAUCUUUUUUUCCCCAGUUGUUCUAUAUUUCCAUUGUUUCUUUUCCUUUGUAUUUCUGUCUGCCAAUUUAGUUUGAUGGUUUUCUGUGAUGUUUUUCUCAGUUUUCUCUUUAUUUAUGAUUUGUGAGUCUGCUCUGAUUUUUUGUUUUGUGGCCACUAUGAGGUUUGUAUAAAAGAUCUCAUAGAUGAGGUAGUCCAUUUUCUGAUAGCCUCUCAUCUCCAUUAGCCUGUGCAAGUUCUCCCCCUUUCCUCUUUCUCUUCUGUGUUUUUGUUGUCACAAAUUAUUCUUUUUUGUGUUGUGAAUUUGUGACCAAAUUGAAGUGGUUAUAGUUAUUUUUGACACUUUCUUUUCUUUAGUCCUUUAUAAUUGUUUACUAACCUAUUCUGAUAUGGAGCUGCAAUUUUCUGUCUAUUUAUCUCCUUGCUCAAACUUUGUAAACCUUUGCCUUUUUGUUUCAGGAAGGACGGCUUCUUUCAGUCUUUCUUGUAAGGCCAGUCUGGUGGGCCUGGGCACCCACUACCUCCAUUCACAGUCUCAUGAACCACUGUGUAAGGAUAUGCACCUUGGAUCCUUGCCACUGGGGGAGGGGAAGAGGGCUGCUCCCUAGUUCUUCUGCCUCCUGGGAGUCCAGUCCAUCCACCUUCAGACGUAUAGAUGCAUGAAUGUUUUAGGUGUCAUUUUGUGCUGUGUAGGGAAUCCUCUGUUUGGUCAAUGAAUGUCUGUUUGGUUGUAACUUGUAGGAGAGAAACAAAGGGAACAACUCAUUCCACCAUGAUGCUGAUGUCACUCAACCACUGGUCUUUUUACUGUCUCCACAGUUUUGCCUUUUCCAGAAUAUCACAUAGUUGGGAUCAUACUGUAUGUAGCCUUUUCAGAUUGGCUUCUUUCACUUAGUAAUAUGCAUAUAAGUUCUAUCAUGUCUUUUCAUGGCUUGAUAGCUCAUUUUCUUUAGUGCUGAAUAAUAUUCUAUCAUCAAUAAAAUUUGUAAACUUCUAGCAAUGUUAACUAAAUAAAUAAAAAGGAGACAUAAAUUACUAAUAUCAGAAAUGAAAGAGGGGCCACCAAUACUGAUCCCAUAGACAUUAAAAUGACAAUAAAGGGAUAUUAAGAACAAUUCCCUACCCACAAAUUUGAUAACCUAGAUGAAAUGAACCAAUUCCUUGAAAGACAUGAUUUGCCAAAAUUUGCACUUGAAGAAAUGGACAAUCAGAAUAGGCCCAUGUCAAUUAAAGAAAUUAAAUCAAUAAAUAAUAGCCUGCCAAAAGGCCCAGAUGAGUUCACUGAUGCACUCUACCAAGAAUUUAAGAAAGGAAUUACAUGAGUUAUCUACAAUCUCUUCCAGAAGAUAGAAGCAGAGGGAACACUUCCUAACACAUUCUAUGAGGCCAGCAUUACCUUAAUACUAAAACCAAAGAUAUUACAAGAAAAGAAAUUACAUAACAAUAUCUCUCAUGAACAUAAAUGCAAAAAUCCUCAACAAAAUAUUAGAAAAUACAAUUCAAUAAUAUAUAAGAAGAAUUAAACACUACAGUCAAGUAGGCUUUAUUCUACUGAUAGGCUGAUUCAACAUUCAAAUAUCAAUAUGAUCCAUCACAUCACCAGAAUAAGGAAAAAAAAUCAUAUGAUCACAUCAAUAGUUGCAGAAAAACAUCUGACAAAAUCUCACACCAAUUCAUGAUUAAAAACUCUCAGCAAAUUAAGAAUGGAGGGAAACUUCCUCAAUUUGAUAAAAAAUAUCUAAAAAAAGUCUACAGCUAACAUCAUGCUUAAUGAUGAGGAAGUAGAUACUUUCCUGCUAAGAUCAGAAACAAGGCAAAGAUGUCUACUCUCUGAUUCUGAUUCAACAUCAUACUGGAAAUCCCAGAUAAUUCAAUAAGACAAGGAAAUAAAAGGUAUACAGCUUGGAAAGAAAGAAAGAAAAUUAUAUAUAUUCACAGAGAAUAUGAUUGUCUAUGUGUAAAAUCCCAAAGAAUCAGCAAAAAAAACCUGCUGGAACUAAUGAGCAAUUGUAGCAAGGUUGCAAGAUACAAAGUUAAAAUACAAAAAUCAACCGCUAUCUUGUAUACUAGUAAUGAAUAUUGGAAUUUGAAAUAAAAAACACGUUUACGUUAGCACCAAAAAGUGAAAUACUUAGGUAUAAAUCUAAUAAAAUAUGUUCAAGAUGUAUAUGAGGAAUACUAUAAAACUCUGAUAAAUCAGUGAUCUAAAUAAAUGGAGAGAUAUUCUAUGUACAUGGGUAGGAAGACUCAAUAUUGUGAAGAUGUCAGUUCUUCCCGACUUAAUCUAUAGAUUUAAUGAAAGUCCAGUCAAAAUCUAGCAAGUUAUUAUCAAUAGAUUUGAUUCUAAAAUUUAUAUAGAAAGACAAAAGAUUGAGAAUCUCCAAUACAAUAUUGAAAGGGAAGAAGAAAGUCAGAGGACUGAUGUUACCUGACUACAAGACUUAAAAGACUUCAUACAAAGCUACAGUGAUCAGGGCAGUGUGGUAUUGACAACCUUAAGUUCUAUGCCCUGCAAAUAAAAUCCUUUAAAAAUUGAGGCCACUGUGAAAGGAGGGCUGAGUAUCUGCAGUGACCCCAUCCCCUCCACAGAUGUGACCCAGAUUCUGUAUCACCGUUGGCUCCCAACACACAGCAGCAGUGACGCCUAGUGGAGCCUAGGUUCUGGAGUUGGCACUGAUGCUACUGACCCAGGCAGAAGGACUUUAUAAAAUGAAACAAAAGACAUACAGUAACUCUGGGGCUUUCAUUUUGACAUCAUUAAGUUGUUCUUUUAUAAUUAGGCUUUAAAAUAAGAAUGAUCUGCCCACCACCACCAAAAAAAGUUAUAUUUCAUUUUUAUCCCAGAAGGUUGAACACUCUUUCUGCAUAUAAAAGGGGUUUGCUUAAGUCAUUUUUUUCCAUAAUAAAGAUCUUCUUCUCUACCAUGGCUGAAUUCUUUACUUUCAGAAACAUGUUAUAAACUCUUAAUUGGCAAUUUCUCUUUCAAAUAAAUAAAUUACAAACAAGAAACAAUGAUCACUUCAUCAGGCAUUUGGCCAUCUUCACCACCAAGCCUGGUAAGAGCCUCUGUUCUCCACAUUCAUAGGUGGACCAUUGACCCAAACCCUGGCACCCUCCAGGAUUCCAAGACCAGCUUCUGCUCACUGUUCUAUCCUUUUUCCUAUGGGCAGAGGCUGCGUGGAGAGAAUUGCUCAUGGCAGAGUCCCGGGUGAUGGAUAGAAGAGGCUCUGGGUCUGAGUCUGCCAGAGAGAUACUAAGAGAGUGAGAUUUUGUUUAAAGAAACAAAGAUGGCAAAUUCAGCUGAUAGAAUGAUGUACUCCCUCUGCAGAGGUAACCACUGUUCUGAAGAUGACCGAGUGCUGACAAUGGCAGGGCCACAUGAUGAAGGGAGGCUGCAUCAAUGAGUCACUCCAUUGGAGACCACUUGGACUGAACUACCACAAGGCUCCAUUGAAAAUACAUGAAAUGUUAAGACAUUGACAGUUCCUGCUGAUGUCUCCUGAGUUCUGAUAAUUGAAAUCCAGAUCAGUGAUGUAAUGCCUUUGGUGAGGAGCUUCAUUUCUCUGACCCUGCUUGUCUGUGCUGACCAAACACAGGCUCAAGCAAGCCUACAGGGAAGGGAGAUCCCUGUAACCUUUCUAGACAGGACCAGGCUUCAAGGCUACAAAAUGAAACUUCAAAUCAGAAGAAGGAGGCUUGCCUAGGAACAUGGGCAUGUGAGUUCUCUACUGCAACUUGUCUUACCAUUAUGUCCAGACACGCUUGUGUGCAGAGAAUGCAUUAUAGUUAUAGCAUGACACUACUUUAAUCUUCUAGUUUUGUGUAAUGUCAGGUGGGGCCUAGAGUAGCCAGAGCUCACGGGCUAGUUUCCUCUGGCUGCAGUCAGUCUUUUAUAUUCCCCCAAUGCACAGUACAAAUAAUAUCACUUUCUGUGUGUGCAGUAAUGAACAGAACAAAGAAGGUAAUGUUUAGCCACCUAGGCCUCACUUGCCCUGCCCCACUGAUGGUUGCUAGGCACUUGUUUUAGAAGUACACCACUUCACAGAGUUGCAAGCAGGCAAGUGUGGUCCACAGAAUACUAACAACCAGGGGCCGAGCUUCAUUGCCUUUGGAGCCAUGGAGGGCCUUCAGACUGCAACAAAAAUAUCUGUCCAGUUAGUCCUGGAGCAGUGCUCUGGUGGUGGGAUCUGAAUACUUGAGACAAAGCCCUUUGGGUUUCCUUUGAGUGUGUGCUAUGAUUUUUUUUUUUUUUUAGUAAGAAGCCAACAUACUUUAAAGAGAAAUAAAGAGCUAGCCAAAUACUUUUCUGCCUUGGUUGAAGAAUAUUGUUGUGUCAGUGAAAAGAUUAAAGAGUUUACACAAAGCUAUGAAGCCCUCGAGUCACUUCUCACAGAGGCCAGGCCUCUGAAGGUAACACUCUGUGUUUGGCAGCACUUAAUAGAAAUAUGACCAGGUCCAUCUCUUCACUUGAGGAUACAGUAGACCUCUCAAAAAUGAAUGGAAAAGUGGACUCUCUCGUGUGAUAAUGGCUCAUCUUCAAGGACAGACAUGAUUGGUCAAAGAUGGAUGAAAAUCCUUCCAAUCCAAGGCCAGUGCUGGUGGUCUAGUGGUUCAGUUCAGCGCACUCCACUUCUGCAGCCCAGGUUUGGCUCCUGGGCAUGGACCUGCACCACUCAUCUGUCGGUGGCUAUGCUUUGGUGGUGGCUCACACACAAAAAGAGGAAGAUUGGCAGCAGAUGUUAGCUCAGGGCAAAUCUUCCUGAGCAAAAAAAUAAAAUCCUUCCAAUCCCAACUAACUAAGGCCAAAGCCAUCUCAGAAAAAAAUAUAGAACAACUUCAGAGGGAAAUAAUGAAGGGUUUGGAUGAAAACACUCAUUUAUAAGAAAGCCUAAUCUGCUUUCCCAAAAAGAUGGUGGAUAGAAAGAGUAUAGGAACUGAAGGACCAGGAAAAUAAAAAUGCUUGGAAAGUAUUACACAUGAAUAAGACAGGCUGUAAAUGAUAAAGAGAGCUCUUAAAACCUCUGACUGAAACCAUGCUGCAGGUGAUACCUGUAGCUACCGAUUGUGGAGAAGAUCACACAGAUGAUGGCAACUUCCUUCUUCCAAAGGAGGAGAGUCAUGCCAUGAGGUCACAGGGAUCCAGGGUCACAUGCACUUUCAACUCAGACUUCAAAGUAGCCAAUCCCUGAACACCCACACCCACUGCCGGACAUCUGCACCCCCC
rnacentral:lncRNA from 1 species